rnacentral:rRNA from 1 species
AUGGCUACCCGCCUCCUCCACCUGCGCCGCCUCCUCCCGGCCGCGCGCCCGUCCUGCGCCGCCGCGUUCUCCACCGCCGUCACCCCGACCCCGCGGGUCUCAGGCCUCGUGGACGAGAUCUGCGGCCUCAACCUCAUCGAGGCUUCCUCCCUCGCCGAUGCCCUGCGCGGCCGCCUCGGCGUCGACCAGCUCCCUCCCCUAGCCAUCCUCAUGGGCGGCGCAGCCCCGCUGGCCGGAGACGGCGCCGGGGCCGCCGAGGAGGCGAAGCCCAAGGAGGAAAAAAUGGCGUUCGACGUGAAGCUGGAGGGGUUCGACGCCGCGGCGAAGCUUAAGAUUAUCAAGGAGCUGAGGGCGAUCACGAGUUUGGGCCUGAAGGAGGCCAAGGAGCUCGUGGAGAAGGCGCCGGCCGUGCUCAAGGCCGGGGUGCCCAAGGAGGAAGCGGAGAGCAUCGCCGAGAAGAUGCGGGCACUGGGCGCCAAGAUUGUUCUCGAGUGA